rnacentral:misc_RNA from 1 species
UCUCCGUUGGUGAACCAGCGGAGGGAUCAUUACUGGAAUCGCAAGAUCCCACAACCCUGUGAACCUACCGAAACGUUGCCUCGGCGGGUGCCCGGCCCCCGCGCCGGGCGCUGCGCCCGCCGGCGGCCCCCUACUCUGUCUCUGCAGCGUGGCAUCUCAGAGUCCCAGAAAACAAGUCAAAACUUUCAACAACGGAUCUCUUGGCUCAA